UCCCUGGUGGUCCAGUGGUUAGGACACCUCCCUUUCACUGUGGAGAGCUGGGUUCAAUUCCUAGUCAGGGAA